UAUUUGUAGUAGUCCUUUCCAACUUCUUUCCCUCUUCCAUGUUACUGUGGCAGCUUGUCAGCAUCUAUUUGGGUUGGGAAGUGGAACAGAAAGUAAGGAAAUCCAAAGUGCCAUUAAAACCAGGAGAGGUUCUUAUAUUUCAGAAGAAGGGAUUAAUUCAAAAGAAAUGACCUCAAUGCCAUAUUUUAUUUAGGAACCCUAGAGAGCACUUUGCAAAAUAACACAUUCUUAUAAUUUCACCCUCAGAUGAGCCAAGCUACAACUGUCAGGGAAGGUGAUGUAGGUACAGAGCAUAUGAGAGUGGUUAAGUUAAUGUCUCUUGUCUAGAUGAAGGCACAAGAGGGAUCAAUGGCAAGGCGUAGAGAUUCAGUAUCUUCAGUCUUCAGUGGACACUCCAUUUCUGGCACAAAACACCUGUAAAAGAUGGUCGAUUUAGGAGGGUGAAGAGCCAGAGGCA